UAUAAAAAAAAAUAAUAAUAAUAAACUUAAGAUUUGUUCAUCUAUUAAUACCAAACAAAAAUCUAUCUUUGUGCUCUGCACGUUUCUCAAUUGUUUUUGUUAUUAGUUCGAUUUUCUCUUAUCGAUAUUACGUAAUGGAAAAGUAUCG